rnacentral:rRNA from 1 species
GCUUAUGGCCACACCGCCUGGUUCACGCUUGAUCUCGGAAGCUAAGAUAGGUUGGGCCUGGUUAGUACUUGAAUGGGGAGACCGCCUGGGAAUACCAGGUGCUGUAAGCU